GGGUGGUAUGUAGAUCUCUCAGCAGCUCUGUACGGCGAGUGAGCAGCAAUAGCUCAAAUUUGAAUCUGGCGUCUUCGGCGUCCGAGUUGUAAUUUGUAGAGGAUGCUUCUGAGUAACCACCGACCUAAGUUCCUUGGAACAGGACGUCAUAGAGGGUGAGAAUCCCGUAUGCGGUCGGAAAGGUGCUCUACACGUAGCUCCUUCGACGAGUCGAGUUGUUUGGGAAUGCAGCUCUAAAUGGGAGGUAAAUUUCUUCUAAAGCUAAAUAUUGGCCAGAGACCGAUAGCGCACAAGUAGAGUGAUCGAAAGAUGAAAAGCACUUUGGAAAGAGAGUUAAAAAGCACGUGAAAUUGUUAAAAGGGAAGGGAUUGCAACCAGACUUGCUCGCGGUGUUCCGCCGGUCUUCUGACCGGUCUACUCGCCGCGUUGCAGGCCAGCAUCGUCUGGUGCCGCUGGAUAAGACUUGAGGAAUGUAGCUCCCUCGGGAGUGUUAUAGCCUCUUGUGAUGCAGCGAGCGCCGGGCGAGGUCCGCGCUUCGGCUAGGAUGCUGGCGUAAUGGUCGUAAUCCGCCCGUCUUGAAACACGGAACA
rnacentral:rRNA from 1 species